rnacentral:tRNA from 1 species
AGAUACACCCUAAAAAGGUCUUUUAAA